GAUGAACGCUGGCGGCGUGCCUAAUACAUGCAAGUAGAACGCUGAAGGAAGGAGCUUGCUCUUUCCGGAUGAGUUGCGAACGGGUGAGUAACGCGUAGGUAACCUGCCUGGUAGCGGGGGAUAACUAUUGGAAACGAUAGCUAAUACCGCAUAACAACAGUUGUUGCAUGACAGCUGUUUAAAAGGUGCAAAUGCACCACUACCAGAUGGACCUGCGUUGUAUUAGCUAGUUGGUGAGGUAACGGCUCACCAAGGCGACGAUACAUAGCCGACCUGAGAGGGUGAUCGGCCACACUGGGACUGAGACACGGCCCAGACUCCUACGGGAGGCAGCAGUAGGGAAUCUUCGGCAAUGGACGGAAGUCUGACCGAGCAACGCCGCGUGAGUGAAGAAGGUUUUCGGAUCGUAAAGCUCUGUUGUAAGAGAAGAACGAGUGUGAGAGUGGAAAGUUCACACUGUGACGGUAUCUUACCAGAAAGGGACGGCUAACUACGUGC
rnacentral:rRNA from 1 species